rnacentral:lncRNA from 1 species
UCUGAAGCUCCGUCCAACUAUGGCUUAAAGAGCUAAUAAAAACUUCACGGAGAUUUAGAGACAACUAAUGACAUCAGGAACAUUGGCUGCCAUGCCUACCUGCUCUAGUUCUCGUUUGGAAAUUCCCCAUGCUCAGCUGUGAAAGAACAGAAUGGAAACCAAUCAAGGGACGGGGGAUAUUGAUAUCUAGCCUACAUGGAUGGAGAAGACAUCGAAA